AAAGGGGGAGGGUUCCUUUUCAAGAAAGUGGGGGCGGAAGAAGCCUUUUUCCAGCCACUAUGCGCAUGCUUCCGGCGGAUUGUCUUGUUGAGGUGCAUUGUCAAACCCUGGGCGCGAGGCGGAUUGUGAAAGAGGACUACAGUUCCCAGCAUGCAGAGCGAGAGCUGCCGGGAUUGGGGCCGCCGCAAGACAAACCUGGGAAGAGGGUAAGCCUGUUUCUGAAAGACGGUGGACAAGCUGUUGCCUCUAGCUAGGUGUCAUCAAAAUUGAUUGGCAAUUACUCAUCAGUGGCUAUUCUUUGGCAACGGAAGGGGGCAAGAACAGAUCAAGCUACGCUUAACCAGCAACAAUAUGGAACCUCUUUCACCACGAAACUUUUUGUCAGAAGGAAGGAACUUUACCCAAGGGUAAGCCUCAGGAAAAUGUAUUUCAAAAAGUGACUGGACUAUAAAAGUGAGGAGCAAAUACAUCUCAGGUAUUCCCUCUUUCUUUUUCUCCCUCUCUUUCUCUCUCAUGCUCUCUCUCAUCUAAGGAGACAAAAGAACCAGCCUUUUGACUUUGGGAGGGGUUCUGGCCUGAAAAUUUGGUCAGCCUUGUUGCUGGCAACAUGUGUUAAGUAUUUUACCUUGAACCUAGUCUAGUUUGUUAAGGUUUAAGUUACUAGAAAGUGUUUUAUCUUUAUUUUCUUUUGUAGCCAUUUCUGACUUUGAUGCCUUAUACUUGUAUUCACAUAAAGUCUGUCUAUUGAUAGUUAA